GGCAUGGCUAUGUUCAGCCUAGGUGAGUGGUCCUAAAUGAAAAUUCAUUUUUAGCCUUCCUUAGUAUUCCCUUCUUGUACCCAGAAAAAACACGAGCGUAAAUAGUCCAUAUUAUCAUGGAUCGGACAAUUAUACAAAGCAAUGCCAUAUUAUUAUAGAGUUUUUGGAUAAAAAGUCUACGAGUAGAAGUAUUUUAAAUGUGGCAAAAGUUUGACUACGCCAUAGUGUGGAAGGGCAUCAAUAUGGUUGGCACGCUGUGAUGGUUACAUUGUCUAAAGUUGAGGUUUUGAAUACCCAGCUCACAGCUAUCCAAUUCUUUUGUGAGCAUUUGUCAUCACCUAAAGAAAUCAAAGGGGUUUUAAACCGUAUAAUGGGUUCUCUACCCGACACAUGGGGCCGGUUUUCCCUUGUGGUCUAGGGUCGGUGGGGAUCAGUUGUGAUAGAUGCCUGUUUCUGACCGUUUCGGUGAAGGUGGUUGAAUUCAGAAAAAUUAAAGAUAGAUGAUAGACUUCAUUAUUCUUAUUUUUUUUUUAUAUGAAUACAUACUGAUUUGGGUUGUUAUAUUAUGGUCAAAAUUAAAGGUCUAUUUAUGGCUUUACAACCGAAGAUAAUUGCCUGUGGGAACUCGGUUGCUGCGUUCGCCAUGGCUGUUCGCUUCCUGACUGGUCCUGCAGUGAUGGCUGCCGCUUCAAUUGCCGUUGGCCUGCGUGGUACUCUUCUCCGCGUCGCUAUCGUUCAGGCUGCACUACCGCAAGGAAUUGUUCCAUUUGUGUUCGCCAAAGAGUACAACGUCCAUCCAGCCAUUCUUAGCACUGCGGUUAUCUUCGGAAUGUUGAUAGCAUUACCAAUUACCCUUGUCUACUACAUUCUCCUUGGAUUGUGAUUUUUCUGAGUGGUAUCCCAAAAAUAGAGCAGAAAUGAAGAGAAUUUUGAUUGCUGAUGAUUGUGUGUCACACUUAUUGGCUUUGCAUAGCUAGCUAGCUGCAUUGACUGCAUAUGUUGGUGUUAGAGGAGGAAUUCCCGGGGAAAGAAGAAUUUAAUACAAAGAAAUUUGCCAAAGGUUCCAAGAUUCUUGGGGCUAAAAAAAUAUUUUUAGCUUAGUUUUUAAGCCCUGAUGUAAGGAUCUUGCACCCAUUAAGAGCCAAAAUUAAAGUUUGUUCAAUCUUCUAAGGUUUUAAAAUGAGCAAAUUGAAGGCCGUUCUUUGCAUAAGGGAGACAUGAAGGAAGAAAACACGGGCAAAAGAGUUCGAGCCAUUAGAAAGCCAUCAUCAUGGAUAAGCUUAUUUCUCUUCAUUUCCUGUUAGUGCAUGUAAAGUCUGAUUUCAAUAUUAAUUCUUCCUCUUCUGCUACAAAACGACAAUGCAAAAGAUUAAUGAAUUGGAUCAGAAGAUACGAAGAGAAGGAGAAAAGGGUUUUUUUUUUUUUUUUUUUUU
rnacentral:misc_RNA from 1 species